rnacentral:rRNA from 1 species
CAAUAGCGUAUAUUAAAGUUGUUGCGGUUAAAAAGCUCGUAGUUGGAUUUCUGUUGAGGACGACCGGUCCGCCCUCUGGGUGAGGUAUCUGGCUCGGCCUUGGCAUCUUCUUGGAGAACGUAACUGCACUUGACUGUGUGGUGCGGUAUCCAGGACUUUUACUUUGAAAAAUUUAGAGUGUUUAAAGCAGGCAUUUGCUAUGAAUACAUUAGCAUGGAAUAAUAAUCUAGGACUUCGGUUCUAUUUUGUUGGUUUCUAGAUCUGAAGUAAUGAUUGAUAGGGAUAGUUGGGGGUGCUAGUAUUAAGGGGCCAGAGGUGAAAUUCUUGGAUUCUCUUAAGACUAACUUAUGCGAAAGCAUUCACCAAGGAUGUCUUCUUUAAUCAAGAACGAAAGUUGGGG